rnacentral:rRNA from 1 species
GACGAACGCUGGCGGCGUGCUUAACACAUGCAAGUCGAACGGAAAGGCCCUGCUUGCAGGGUACUCGAGUGGCGAACGGGUGAGUAACACGUGGGUGAUCUGCCCUGCACUUCGGGAUAAGCCUGGGAAACUGGGUCUAAUACCGGAUAGGAGCCAUUUUUAGUGUGAUGGUUGGAAAGUUUUUUCGGUGUAGGAUUAGCUCGCGGCCUAUCAGCUUGUUGGUGGGGUAAUGGCCUACCAAGCCGGCGACGGGUAGCCGGCCUGAGAGGGUGGACGGCCACAUUGGGACUAAGAUACGGCCCAGACUCCUACGGGAGGCAGCAGUGGGGAAUAUUGCACAAUGGGCGCAAGCCUGAUGCAGCGACGCCGCGUGGGGGAUGACGGGCUUCGGGUUGUAAACUCCUUUCGCUAGGGACGAAGCUUUUUGUGACGGUACCUAGAUAAGAAGCACCGGCUAACUACGUG